AGAGUUUGAUCCUGGCUCAGAUUGAACGCUGGCGGCAUGCCUUACACAUGCAAGUCGAACGGCAGCAUAGGAGCUUGCUCCUGAUGGCGAGUGGCGAACGGGUGAGUAAUAUAUCGGAACGUGCCCUAGAGUGGGGGAUAACUAGUCGAAAGAUUAGCUAAUACCGCAUACGAUCUACGGAUGAAAGUGGGGGAUCGCAA
rnacentral:rRNA from 1 species